AAAAAACGUAGACAAAAUGAGAAACGAGAACAAAAAACAAAAGCAUAGAAAACGAACAUUUUUCGAACAAUGAAAAAACCCAGAGAAACGAGAUAUGCAACAUAAAGAACAUUCCCUCCAUCAGUCGUCCCCUCAGAUCGGAAGAGCGUC